rnacentral:rRNA from 1 species
GUGAGGAAUAUUGGUCAAUGGGCGAAAGCCUGAACCAGCCAUGUCGCGUGAAGGAUGAAGGUCCUAUGGAUUGUAAACUUCUUUUGCAGGAGGGUAAAGUGAGCUACGUGUAGUUCAUUGCAAGUACCCUGCGAAUAAGCAUCGGCUAACUCCGUGCCAGCAGCCGCGGUAAUACGGAGGAUGCGAGCGUUAUCCGGAUUUAUUGGGUUUAAAGGGUGCGUAGGCGGACUAAUUAGUCAGCGGUGAAAUUUUGCGGCUCAACCGUAAAACUGCCGUUGAAACUGUUAGUCUGGAGUGCGGUAGAGGUAGGCGGAAUGUGUGGUGUAGCGGUGAAAUGCUUAGAUAUCACACAGAACACCGAUUGCGUAGGCAGCUUACUGGAGCGCAACUGACGCUGAGGCACGAAAGCGUGGGGAUCGAACAGGAUUAGAAACCCGGGUAGUCC